rnacentral:lncRNA from 1 species
AAUUUAAAGAUCUAUCCCAGUCCUUGACCUACAUGGAGGAGCACAGAGCCAGUCAUUUCUGAACCAACAGCCAUAGAAAAUCGGAGGCCUUUUCAUGCUGGAAAUUCCACGGGGAGGAAGGAGAGUGCCUGCAGACAGCAACUGCCUCUGUAGUGAAGGGAAGUCUGAAGUUUCCCCUCUGCUUUUUCGUGCAUAACAGCAUCUGUAUGCCUCAUUUCCAUCUUCACAGCUCCUGUAAUUUACAUAAUGAACAUUUGCAAAGCCUGAGAUCCGGGUUCACUUUGUACCACAUUUACUGUAGAUGACCUUCAGCGUAUCAUCAGAAAAGUUUCCCAGGCAAUUUUCCCAAAGGGUGUGAAUGUGAAACCUAGAUCAUCAGGGAAGGAGGAAAGGGGAAUGAAAGCAGAUUUCUGAGAUAUCUGUCAUUCAAAGGCACUCUUGAAAGACAUCCAUUGGAUUUCCAGCAUGGCAGAGGGAGCCCUGUCUACACAGUGGCCUUUGAGGAACAGGUCUGUGGGCUCCAUGCCACCAGCACCACAGGGGAGCUUGUAAUAACCACACCAGCACAGUCCAGAUGUCUUGGAGAGGAUUUGGUUUCAAGACACAUGGCUGCAAGUUCAGGAGAACUUGGAGGGGGGAAGGGGUUCUGCUCUAAUAUACAUAAUUUGUUUAAAAAGUUUGCAGGUGUUAGAAUUUUUAUUGAAGGCAGGGAGCUGAGAAAU